ensembl:snRNA LOC120101208 U6 spliceosomal RNA
UUGCUUGCUUAGCAGUACAUAUAAUGAUUUUGGAAUAAUACAGAGAAACUGAGCAUGGACCCUGUGAAGAUGUAUUAAAAUGUGUGAAGAAUUUUGUAUUUUA